GUCACAAGGCUCCAUGUGCAGAAGCAGCCGGUGAGUCAGGGGAGCAGCAAACGAAACCAGAAGUAGCUGAUGGGUGUGAGUGGCUGCCCUUGCUAAUUCUGGUGUAACUCAGAUUAUGAGGAAUAUGGCUCUGUGUGUGUGCCGUUGUAAAAUGUGCUACGUGAUCUGUAUCACAGUUAGGACAUGUCUGUCUGUCUGUGUCUUACAAUCCGUGAGGACUGUGGUUAUUUAACUGGAGAGUGUCAAAAAGAGGAGAGUCAAGCAGGCCCAAAUUUAAGAGGGAAGAGCAUUUUUGCUGCUGUUCUGGUAAUAGUUAAAAGAUUAAUUUCCUCCACAGCAAAAUUAAGUGCUGUAGGCAAAUCCCUCGUCUCCUGAGUUGUCACUGUCCCAAAUCUGGCAGUUCUGACCAAGAGCAAAGGCUGCUCUUACACAAGCCCCAACUUUGCUCCCAGCCCUCCUGCAAGGUCGCUGAUGGUCCUGGUAAUAGCAGUGUGGCUCUGCCCCAUAGUGAACUGCUUUCCUGCCAGCACUUAAUUUGCACUGUGUGGGAAGAAUAAAUUAAAGCUUGAGACAGUGAAAUGCGAUCUCUACCCACUUUGAAACCUUUCACAAAUGUCUCAACUCUCAGCUGAAAUCAGGAUCUUAUAAUUAGGUUAUUAUUUUAUUAAUUAAGCAUGGAGUACUAGAAACAUACCCAGUGUGUGUGAGUUCAUUGAUGACGGGGACGUGUGGUAGCUGUGCAGGGAAAGCAGAAGAGCAAAGCCUCUGAAAGCCAAGUUGUAGAUAGGUAAGACAGAAACUGGUAGAGCAUUUAUUAAGUAAAGCACUUCUGUAGUUGCAGCUGCAUUCUCAGUGUUGAGAGGAAACUCCACUAGUGUUUUGUGUCUGUGUGCCCUCGGGUCACGGCUCCCAGAGGAAGCAGUGCAAGACCUGGAUCCAGUCGGACGUGGUGUGAACAGGUCUGGCAGCAUGGGCAGAUGAUUGUAGCACCAAAUGCUGAAGUAAGGACAGGCACGAUUCCUAUCUGGGAUGUUGAAGAUGCAUGGAGUGACAUGGAUGCACACAGAGACAAAGAAAAACACCCCACUCCUUCUGUGUGCUGUUCCAACCCUUUAUUGUGGCCAGCACGAGACAUUCACUGGAGAAAUGGCUGAUAGUUACUAAACCCCAGGAGCAGGAUUAAGGAUUUCUGGGAUCUGUUCUGAUUUGUCUGAUACUGUGCUCUGUGAUUUCCUAAUUCCUUCCCUGAGAAGCUUUUCCCUUCCCUACGUAGACCCCAAGGAGCUGAGUAACUGGUGUUGCACAGAGUGAAGAAGCCACUUGACAGGCUCAGGUUUCAGUGCUCAGAUAAACCAGCAUGUUCUUCAACAUCAUGAAUAAAGAAUUGCCUGAUGGCUGUGGAAAGUAGUUCUGAUAAAAAUGGCUCUGCGUAACU